AGUGUAGCCGACAUUGGCCGCGUUUAGACAAAGAGCCGAAUAUGACCGAGUUUAGCCCAACCGGGCCGAGUUCAGCCGAAGAGCCGGAAAAGCCGAAUUUAGACGAAAAGCCGAACCGAAACGAUUUUAGACCUAAGCCGAACCAAGCCUAAUUUAGCUGAGUUUAUUUAAACGGAACCGAACGACGCCGCAGCGCUCUGCCUGCAGAGCGCCGGUGCAGACGGCAGGGGGCGGUGUAUAAAGGUACUGAGAAAAUCCGUCUCCCUUAGAGUCCCACGGAAAGGUUCUCAGUGCGCUCUCUAUCAAGUGCUAUGAGUCUUGAUAGAUUGGAGAAGAGCCCAAGAGAAAUUUUUCAUCCCUUGAUAUAAAAGGGAUCGGUGAAUUUUAACUUUGGAGUCCUCUGUGCUAAGGAUGCUCAGCUUACCGAUGAUGAAAUGUUCAGUAAUGUAUUUGCUGCAGCUCUGCUUACCCAAGCUUUGGGUUCCUUCUGUCCCACUGGGAGUUGCCCAAUUUGGUUGCAUCUGGUGAAAUUCACCCUGAGACCUUACAGAACCAGCUCCAACUACGUGAGAGCCAUUUGCAGUUCUCUCCAGACACCUGGAGAA